UAUNGGUCAAUGGGCGGGAGCCUGAACCAGCNAAGUCGCGUGAGGGAUUAAGGCCCUACGGUUCGUAAACCUCUUUUGCCGGGGAGCAGGGCGGCGGACGUGUCCGCCGUUUGAGAGUACCCGGAGACAAAGCAUAGGCUAACUUCGUGCCAGCAGCCGCGGUCAUACGGAGGAUGCGAGCGUUAUCCGGAUUUAUUGGGUUUAAAGGGAGCGUAGGCGGGCUUUUAAGUCAGCGGUAAAAAUUCGGGGCUCAACCCCGUCCGGCCGUUGAAACUGGGGGCCUUGAGUGGGCGAGAAGAAGGCGGAAUGCGUGGUGUAGCGGUGAAAUGCAUAGAUAUCACGCAGAACCCCGAUUGCGAAGGCAGCCUUCCGGCGCCCUACUGACGCUGAGGCACGAAAGUGCGGGGAUCGAACAGG
rnacentral:rRNA from 1 species